rnacentral:rRNA from 1 species
ACUUUGCAUGGCAUUCGGAUUCCGUGGUCAGAGGUGAAAUUCUUGGAUUGACGGAAGACGAACAGCUGCGAAAGCGUCUGCCAAGGACGUUUUCAUUGAUCAAGAACGAAAGUUAGGGGAUCGAAGACGAUCAGAUACCGUCGUAGUCUUAACCAUAAACUAUGCCGACUGGGGAUCAGGCGAGCAAUUUGACGAAACUCGCUUGGCACCCCGAGGGAAACCAAAGUUUUUGGGUUCCGGGGGGAGUAUGGUCGCAAGGCUGAAACUUAAAGGAA